UUACUGAAAACUCCUUUGUUGAGAACCUUUAUACGAUAUCCAAGAUGAAGAAUAAGGCAACAUAGAUGGGAGUGAUGGGGAUUGCUAGUUUGUACAAAAUAAGAACCAUAUUACAUUCCAGAAAAUGCAAAAUUAACUAGGCAUAAAUAUAGAAACUGGAUUAUAACUUGCAAUGUAAGAAUCAAAAGGAAACCAUGGAUAAAUAUCACAUCCUUGUAAUUGGUAUGCGAUCACAGGUUCUUAAAUAAUGACCAUUAUUUAGUGACCAUUAAAAAUUAAAAUAAUUAAAUAGUAUUACAUCAAAGAACAUAAAACUUACAGGAUCCUUAUUGCUCUCAUGCGUUGGGACUACAAUAUCCACCUCAGAAGAUAAUGGUGUUUGUACAUUUGAAUCCUGCAAAUCCAUAAAAAGAUACAUUAAAAUUAAAAUUAAAUUAAUUGUAGAAUAAUUAAGUAGUUUAAUCUUACCUUAAUUGUUGUCAUCUAAUUCUUCCUUUUUUGGCUCAUAAGAAGAUAAUGGUGUUUAUCAAACAACAUCCCAAACUUUGGCUCAUACUUUUUUGGUUUCACAUCCACAUCAUUAUCAGUUUUUUCAUUAUUUCCAUUUAAAUUGUUGUUAAUCUAAUUCUUCAAAAUCUUCGACUUUGUAGUUUUUUUUCCAAAUCCUUCAUUUUUAUACCAUGAAAAAUAAAUUGUAUUAAUCAUAUAUAAUUCAAACAAAAUCUACAUUUCCAAUAACUUAUUUCUAAUAAUUUUAAAAUAUAAAUACAAUAAAUCAAAACUUUCCUCAACAUGCUAAAUUUAAUUACCUACGUAGGUGAAAAAGGUCCAAAAUCGUCAAGCACACCGUCAACGGCGAUGUGAUCAGUGAUGGGCUGGUCGGCAAUGGGCGUGGCGUGACAGCGAUGAUGGCUGGUCAACAAUGGCCGUGGCGUGACAAGUUUUGUGGGUGAGUGACAGCCUGCUAGUGGGUGAGUAAAAGAGGCAGAUCGGGUUAGGGGUGGGCAAAAAAACCGUAGUCUUAAAAAAAUCGAACUGAACCGAUAAUUUUUUCUAAUUCGGUUCGGUUUUUAUUUUUUAAAAAAAC
rnacentral:lncRNA from 1 species